UACGAAGGGGGCUAGCGUUGCUCGGAAUCACUGGGCGUAAAGCGCACGUAGGCGGAUCUUUAAGUCAGGGGUGAAAUCCCGGAGCUCAACUCCGGAACUGCCUUUGAUACUGAGGGUCUUGAGUCCGGGAGAGGUGAGUGGAACUGCGAGUGUAGAGGUGAAAUUCGUAGAUAUUCGCAAGAACACCAGUGGCGAAGGCGGCUCACUGGCCCGGUACUGACGCUGAGGCGCGAAAGCGUGGGGAGCGAUCCGG
rnacentral:rRNA from 1 species